rnacentral:rRNA from 1 species
AUUGAACGCUGGCGGCAGGCCUAACACAUGCAAGUCGAACGAGUGGCGGACGGGUGUGUAAUGUCUGGGAAACCGCCUGAUGGAGGGGGAUAACUACUGGAAACGGUAGCUAAUACCGCAUACUAUCGGAUGUGCCCAGAUGGGUUUAGCUAGUAGGUGGGGUAAAGGCUCACCUAGGCGACGAUCCCUAGCUGGUCUGAGAGGAUGACCAGCCACCCUGGAACUGAGACACGGUCCAGACUCCUACGGGAGGCGGCAGUGGGGAAUAUUGCACGAUGGGCGCAAGCCUGAUGCAGCCAUGCCGGGUGUAUGAAGAAGGCCUUCGAGUUGUAAAGUACUUUCAGCGGGGAGGCGUUACCCGCAGAAGAAGCACCGGCUAACUCCGUGCCAGCAGCCGCGGUAAUAC